rnacentral:rRNA from 1 species
UACAGAGGGUGCGAGCGUUGUUCGGAAUUAUUGGGCGUAAAGGGCGCGUAGGCGGUGUUGUAAGUCACCUGUGAAACCUCUGGGCUUAACUCAGAGGCUGCUUCCAAAACUGCCGCGCUUGAGUGCGGGAGAGGCGAGUGGAAUUGCAGGUGUAGCGGUGAAAUGCGUAGAUAUCUGCAGGAACACCCGUGGCGAAA